rnacentral:sRNA from 1 species
UCUCUUGGGUCAACUAGAGGAAGUAAAAGUCGUAACAAGGUUUCCGUAGGUGAACCUGCGGAAGGAUCAUUAACGAAUAUAAUUCGAGGGGUUGUCGCUGGUCUCGCUCGCGCGAGGCAUGUGCACGCUUCUUGUUUUUCUCUCAACUCACCCGUGCACCUAAUGUAGGAUGCCUCUCCUCCGGGAGGGGGGACCUAUGUCUUCGUAUACAUCUUCGUGUAGAAAGUCUUUGAAUGUUUACUAUCAUCGAGUCGCGACUUCUAGGAGACGCGAUUCUUUGAGAUAAAAGUUAUUACAACUUUCAGCAACGGAUCUCUUGGCUCUCGCAUCGAUGAAGAACGCAGCGAAAAGCGAUAUGUAAUGUGAAUUGCAGAUCUACAGUGAAUCAUCGAAUCUUUGAACGCACCUUGCGCUCCUCGGUGUUCCGAGGAGCAUGCCUGUUUGAGUGUCAGUAAAUUCUCAACCCCUCUCGAUUAGCUUCGAGAGGGCGCUUGGAUAGUGGAGGUUGCCGGAGACUCGGAUUCGUCCAAGACUCGGGCUCUUCUGAAAUGCAUCGGCUUGCGGUCGACUUUCGACUAUGUGCGACAAGGCUUUCGGCGUGAUAAUGAUCGCCGUUCGCUGAAGCGCAUGACCGCAGGUUCCGCGCCUGUGAACGUCGACCACAAACCCCCCGCCGCCCUGGGUCGUGGGGAGGUGCACCAUUCAAAAGCUCUGUCUGCAG